GGGCCCGUAGCUUAGUAUGGUAGAGCACCGGGCUCUUAACCCGGGGGUCGUGGGUUCGAAUCCCACCGGGCCCG
rnacentral:tRNA from 2 species